UUUUGAACAAUAAGAGAUGAGGUGUAAAGGUUUCUUGGUUUGACAAGCGUUCGGCUAAAUUAUUAUUGAGUGAGUACUCAUAGAAGGUGGAAAGCCUGUAUAACUGAACCGCUUUGUUUAAACCGAGAUACUGAAGAGUCUAGUUGUUUGGGAGUACAACUUAAAGUUGGUGGUAAAUUUCAUCAAAGGCUAAAUAUAAGAAGGGACUAAUAGCGAACAAGUACCAUGAGGGAAAGUUGAAAAGAACUCUGACGAGAGAGUUAAAAAGUACGUGAAACCAUAUUGAGUAAAACAGAUAACUGUGUUGUUAUGCGGCGUGCCUAUCAACAGCAAAUUUGGCGUUGUGAUGCUAUUCGUANAGGCUGAUUAUGCAGCUGAUUACGGGUGGUUAGCAUAGUUGAAUGUUCUGUGUAUUAGUGCGCGUCCUAUCAUUGAGAAACUAUGCCAUCAUAGCUUCGGUGCACACCAGUUCGCACUAUGUGCGUAGCUGUGUACUGGGUUUACUUGAAGGUGUCGUUUUGCUGUAGUGCAGCUGCGGUUACGUUUACUGAAUAUAGUUGCUUUGUCUGCGAUUUGGUUUAUUCCGAUUCGCGGUGAGUAUACUGUAGUAGGUAAGUGGCCGUCAUCAAUGAUAAACAUUAGUUAUUUGACCCGUCUUGAAACACGGACCAAGGAGUUCAAAUGGCACGCGAGUCGUUGGGUUUUAAACCCGAAGGCGAAGUGAAAUGCAAACGUAUUGUUAUUUGUGGUUGUUCCAUGAUUAAGCGAUAAGCUACUUGUGCUUCUGGCACUUGUAGACUAAAAGCGU
rnacentral:rRNA from 1 species